rnacentral:rRNA from 1 species
CCUACGGGAGGCAGCAGUGAGGAAUAUUGGUCAAUGGACGAGAGUCUGAACCAGCCAAGUAGCGUGAAGGAUGACUGCCCUAUGGGUUGUAAACUUCUUUUAUAUGGGAAUAAAAUGUUCCACGUGUGGGAUUUUGUAUGUACCAUAUGAAUAAGGAUCGGCUAACUCCGUGCCAGCAGCCGCGGUAAUACGGAGGAUCCGAGCGUUAUCCGGAUUUAUUGGGUUUAAAGGGAGCGUAGGUGGAUUGUUAAGUCAGUUGUGAAAGUUUGCGGCUCAACCGUAAAAUUGCAGUUGAAACUGGCAGUCGUGAGUACAGUAGAGGUGGGCGGAAUUCGUGGUGUAGCGGUGAAAUGCAUAGAUAUCACGCAGAACGCCGAUUGCGAAGGCAGCAUACCGGCGCCCAACUGACGCUGAGGCACGGAAGCGUGGGGAUCGAACAGGAUUAGAUACCCUAGUAGUC